rnacentral:rRNA from 1 species
GAUGAACGCUGGCGGCGUGCCUAAUACAUGCAAGUCGAACGUUUUGUGGUUCAACUGAUUUGAAGAGCUUGCUCAGAUAUGACGAUGGACAUUGCAAAGAGUGGCGAACGGGUGAGUAACACGUGGGAAACCUACCUCUUAGCAGGGGAUAACAUUUGGAAACAGAUGCUAAUACCGUAUAACAAUGACAACCGCAUGGUUGUUAUUUAAAAGAUGGUUCUGCUAUCACUAAGAGAUGGUCCCGCGGUGCAUUAGCUAGUUGGUAAGGUAAUGGCUUACCAAGGCGAUGAUGCAUAGCCGAGUUGAGAGACUGAUCGGCCACAAUGGGACUGAGACACGGCCCAUACUCCUACGGGAGGCAGCAGUAGGGAAUCUUCCACAAUGGGCGAAAGCCUGAUGGAGCAACGCCGCGUGUGUGAUGAAGGGUUUCGGCUCGUAAAACACUGUUGUAAGAGAAGAAUGACAUUGAGAGUAACUGUUCAAUGUGUGACGGUAUCUUACCAGAAAGGAACGGCUAAAUACGUGCCAGCAGCCGCGGUAAUACGUAUGUUCCAAGCGUUAUCCGGAUUUAUUGGGCGUAAAGCGAGCGCAGACGGUUAUUUAAGUCUGAAGUGAAAGCCCUCAGCUCAACUGAGGAAAUUGCUUUGGAAACUGGAUGACUUGAGUGCAGUAGAGGAAAGUGGAACUCCAUGUGUAGCGGUGAAAUGCGUAGAUAUAUGGAAGAACACCAGUGGCGAAGGCGGCUUUCUGGACUGUAACUGACGUUGAGGCUCGAAAGUGUGGGUAGCAAACAGGAUUAGAUACCCUGGUAGUCCACACCGUAAACGAUGAGUGCUAGGUGUUUGAGGGUUUCCGCCCUUAAGUGCCGCAGCUAACGCAUUAAGCACUCCGCCUGGGGAGUACGACCGCAAGGUUGAAACUCAAAGGAAUUGACGGGGACCCGCACAAGCGGUGGAGCAUGUGGUUUAAUUCGAAGCAACGCGAAGAACCUUACCAGGUCUUGACAUCCCUUGACAACUCCAGAGAUGGAGCGUUCCCUUCGGGGACAAGGUGACAGGUGGUGCAUGGUUGUCGUCAGCUCGUGUCGUGAGAUGUUGGGUUAAGUCCCGCAACGAGCGCAACCCUUAUUACUAGUUGCCAGCAUUCAGUUGGGCACUCUAGUGAGACUGCCGGUGACAAACCGGAGGAAGGUGGGGAUGACGUCAAAUCAUCAUGCCCCUUAUGACCUGGGCUACACACGUGCUACAAUGGCGUAUACAACGAGUUGCCAACCCGCGAGGGUGAGCUAAUCUCUUAAAGUACGUCUCAGUUCGGAUUGUAGGCUGCAACUCGCCUACAUGAAGUCGGAAUCGCUAGUAAUCGCGGAUCAGCACGCCGCGGUGAAUACGUUCCCGGGUCUUGUACACACCGCCCGUCACACCAUGAGAGUUUGUAACACCCAAAGCCGGUGGGGUAACCUUCGGGAGCCAGCCGUCUAAGGUGGGACAGAUGAUUAGGGUG